rnacentral:rRNA from 1 species
AUUGAACGCUGGCGGCAUGCCUUACACAUGCAAGUCGAACGGUAACGGGCCUUCGGGUGCCGACGAGUGGCGAACGGGUGAGUAAUAUAUCGGAACGUGCCCAGUAGUGGGGGAUAGCCCGGCGAAAGCCGGAUUAAUACCACAUACGACCUGAGGGUGAAAGCGGGGGAUCGCAAGAACUCGCGCUAUUGGAGCGGCCGAUAUCAGAUUAGCUAGUUGGUGGGGUAAAGGCCUACCAAGGCAACGAUCUGUAGUUGGUCUGAGAGGACGACCAGCCACACUGGGACUGAGACACGGCCCAGACUCCUACGGGAGGCAGCAGUGGGGAAUUUUGGACAAUGGGCGCAAGCCUGAUCCAGCAAUGCCGCGUGCAGGAAGAAGGCCUUCGGGUUGUAAACUGCUUUUGUCAGGGAAGAAAUCUUCUGGGUUAAUACCUCGGGAGGAUGACGGUACCUGAAGAAUAAGCACCGGCUAACUACGUGCCAGCCGCCGCCGUAAAAC